UCGAGAAUAUUCGACAAUGGGCGAAAGCCUGAUCGAGCGACGCCGCGUGCAGGAUGAAGGUCUUAGGAUUGUAAACUGCUUUUCUACGGGAGGAAGUUCCGGCGCUUGCGCCGGAAUUGACAGUACCGUGGGAAUAAGGGGCUGCAAACUUCGUGCCAGCAGCCGCGGUAAUACGAAGGCCCCGAGCGUUAUCCGGAUUUAUUGGGCGUAAAGGGCGCGUAGGAGGUCCGAUGCGUCUUCUGUAAAAUUUCACCGCUCAACGGUGGAGCUGCAGGGGAUACGGUCGGACUUGAGGGCGUUAGAGGCAGAUGGAACACACGGUGUAGGGGUGAAAUCCGUUGAUAUCGUGUGGAACACCAAAGGCGAAGGCAUUCUGCUGGGACGUUCCUGACUCUGAGGCGCGAAAGCGUGGGGAGCAAAAAGG
rnacentral:rRNA from 1 species